rnacentral:rRNA from 1 species
UACGAGGGGUGCAAACGUUAUUCGGAAUUACUGGGUGUAAAGGGUACGUAGACGGCAUAUUAAGUCAGUUGUUAAAUUCCCCAGCUUAACUGGGGGUAGGCGAUUGAAACUGAUAAGCUAGAGGAUGAGAGAGAGAAGUGGAAUUCUCGGAGUAGCGGUAAAAUGCGUAGAUCUCGAGAGGAACACCGAUGGCGAAGGCAGCUUCGUGGCUCAUUUCUGACGUUGAGGUACGAAAGCGUGGGGAGCAAACAGG